UCUCGCCACAUGUUCUAGCAGUCUUACUGGCUGAAUUUAUUUCUGCCAGGAUCCCUCCACAGUCCAGUGAUGCUUCCUUUGUCCUUCAAGUGUUGUUGAUUCCAUGAGUAGAGAUUAAGGGAGAGAUAUCUUAGGGUGUCUGUCCCACAUUCUUACACUUUCCCUCUUCUUUGAGAAUCAUCUCCUGCUGGGGUUCAGGAGACAGAAAGUAUAGGGGGAUGGGAACCUCCAGAUUUUUUUUUGCCAUUUCUCACUCACACCCUUUUUCCUGCCAAAGAAUGGCCUCUUAAACAAGUGAUAGUCUAUUUGAUUCUGUUGACAUCUGGCUGAGGCAUCAAUUUGCCUUUUAUCUCUGAGGAACUGGAUUGUGGCUGCUUUCCCAGAUUUGGAAUAUGUGUUACUAGACUACAGUGUUUUACAGUAG